rnacentral:rRNA from 1 species
UGGGGAAUUUUGGACAAUGGGCGAAAGCCUGAUCCAGCAAUGCCGCGUGUGUGAAGAAGGCCUUCGGGUUGUAAAGCACUUUUGUCCGGAAAGAAAUCCUUGGCUCUAAUACAGUCGGGGGAUGACGGUACCGGAAGAAUAAGCACCGGCUAACUACGUGCCAGCAGCCGCGGUAAUACGUAGGGUGCAAGCGUUAAUCGGAAUUACUGGGCGUAAAGCGUGCGCAGGCGGUUUGCUAAGACCGAUGUGAAAUCCCGGGCUCAACCUGGGAACUGCAUUGGUGACUGGCAGGCUAGAGUAUGGCAGAGGGGGGUAGAAUUCCACGUGUAGCAGUGAAAUGCGUAGAGAUGUGGAGGAAUACCGAUGGCGAAGGCAGCCCCCUGGGCCAAUACUGACGCUCAUGCACGAAAGCGUGGGGAGCAAACAGGAUUAGAUACCCUGGUAGUCCACGCCCUAAACGAUGUCAACUAGUUGUUGGGGAUUCAUUCCUUAGUAACGUAGCUAACGCGUGAAGUUGACCGCCUGGGGAGUACGGUCGCAAGAUUAAAACUUAAAUGAAUUGACGGGGUCAUAGCUG